AUUUCCAUAGAGAGGCACUUUGCAUCAGCAGCACCAUGCUCCAGUGCUCUGGGAGAGUUUAUAGUCCUGAGAGUUGAACACUGGAUGACUGACAGCUGUCCUUCAUCACAACAGAAGCCACAGAAAUCCUCCUCAUCAAAAACAUGACUUUGAUCUGCGUCCUCAUCUGGACUCUCCUCUGCUGCUGCUUCACAGAGUCCAGAGGACAGAUCACAGUGACUCAGCCUGGAGCAGUGAGCUCUGCUGUGGGAGGAUCUGUGAGCAUCAAGUGUAGGACCAGUCAGAAUGUUAAUAGUAAUUUAUCCUGGUACCAACAGAAAGAUGGAGGAGUUCCUAAACUGCUCAUUUACUAUACUAGCACUCGAGUAUCAGGGAUUCCAGCUCGUUUUACAGGCAGUGGAUCAAACUCUGACUUCACUCUGACCAUCAGUGGAGUCCAGGCUGAAGAUGCAGCAGUUUAUUACUGUCAGAGUUUCACUAUUAACAGUCAGUAUGUGUUCACACAGUGAAAAACAGUCGUACAAAAACCUCCCUCAGUCAGACUGAACAGAAACUGAAGUGACUGCUGCAGCUGGAAGAUACUGCAGAGACUGAUACAGUUCACUGAGGACACACACA